CCGUGAAGACUUUUAAAAUAGAGACCAACGUGGCCGGGCAGGAAGAGCAGGGUCCCGCCUUCAGGUGUUUGGGACUCAGCUGAGGGUGUGGGUGCCCCGCGGUGGGGGCUGAACCUUCCUGGGGUGUGGAGAGACGAAAGGAGCCCAGAUCCAAGUUCCCUCGUUCCCGCUUUGGCAUAAGUUGCCCUGGCGGUCUCAUGAGAGAGAGAAAGAGCUGGGACCCUCCUCGCCCCAGUGAGUGUGAUGUCUUGCUCCGGGUGUCCUGGGGCAACUUUCUAUACAGGCGGGACGUGGGAGGAUCAGACAGUGUAACAUCAGACAAGGGUGUUGACUCUGCAGCACAGAACCAGUAGUUUGUGGAGAAGAAUGGAGGUGUGGUGUUGAAUCUGCUAGACAGGCUACUGAAGCAAAAGUCAAGAGAUCCAGAUUCCAUCAUGGGGACACUUUAGGUAAGUCACU
rnacentral:lncRNA from 1 species